rnacentral:misc_RNA from 1 species
GAAAAGAUGCCCAAACCACGUCACAAGCUAUUUCUUCAUUUACUCCACAUCAAGCAUAAUGGUGCAGUAAUCCAGGCCUAGAAAGCAUCUUGACUUUUGACCCAAAAUCCCUCGCCAUAUUUCCAGUACAGGCUAUAUUUUGUGAGGCAGUCGCCAUUUAACUCCAAAUAGAACAAAAAUAAAGUUCCCAAGAUCUCUAGAAACCCAAGAAUUAUAAUACCAACAGUCUGAUUUAUUCUAACAGAGGAACAUUUCAUAUGGAUAAAAAAUAGAAUGCUAGCAAAGAGUAGAAGCUCACUUCAAGGCACUUGAUGAAUCUUAAAGUACCAUCUGAACACCAACAUAUCACACUUAGAAUUCUCAAUUACCCUAACAAUUUUGCCUCCUAAAGAACAACAAAUCAUCUUGUAUAAACAUAUACAAUAAUUCCUAUACUUGAGACACAUCCUUGGUAAUCUUUUUAUAGUUUAGUUUGAAUUUUAGACCAAGACAUACCAACAAACCAUAGAAGAUCACUUGUCAUGGACAAAAACUGUUUCUAAGGAAGAACACCGCAAAACUAUUGACAAAAUUCUUUCCAAUCAGCUAAUUCAAAGCCAUUUGAAAGCA